AAGCUAUUAAUGAUUUCUACUUAUAUGUUAGACCAUUCAUGAUGGAGUGGAACGAACUUUGAAGUUUCUGUAUCUUGGAGAAAGUUCAAAUGCUUGUAUUCAUAUUUUCAUACUUUUUUGCAGUAUGGAUUACCAAUGCCGAUUUCUUUGUUAAGGGCAGAUAAUAACCUUCCUCCUUGGCGUCCUGGAUUGAAAGAGGUACUCUUUCUCUCUAUAUUUUUGGUUCUUGUUGCAUUGUGAACACCAUUUACUUCCUUAGAUGGCAUUAUUAGAGUAGUAUGUGCUUUUCUUUUUAUUUCCCAACUGUUAUUCUAUUUUUGGUGGUUACUCAAUCUACCUUGUUCUCUUCGUUAUUUUUACUUUAGCAAACUGUUUGGCUAAUAUAUAGCUGACCAUAUAUGUGUUUGGUGCCUGAUUUCUGCAUGAAUUAAAUCUACAUAGGGG
rnacentral:lncRNA from 1 species